rnacentral:rRNA from 1 species
GACGAACGCUGGCGGCGUGCUUAACACAUGCAAGUCGAACGGAAAGGCCCUGCUUUUGUGGGGUGCUCGAGUGGCGAACGGGUGAGUAACACGUGAGUAACCUGCCCUUGACUUUGGGAUAACUUCAGGAAACUGGGGCUAAUACCGGAUAGGAGCUCCUGCUGCAUGGUGGUGGUUGGAAAGUUCCGGCGGUUGGGGAUGGACUCGCGGCUUAUCAGCUUGUUGGUGGGGUAGUGGCAUACCAAGGCUUUGACGGGUAGCCGGCCUGAGAGGGUGACCGGCGACAUUGGGACUGAGAUACGGACCAGACUCCUACGGGAGGCAGCAGUGGGGAAUAUUGCACAAUGGGCGGACGCCUGAUGCAGAAACGCCGCGUGCGGGAUGCCGGCCUUCGGGUUGUAAACCGCUUUCGCCUGUGACGAAGCGUGAGUGACGGUAAUGGGUAAAGAAGCACCGGCUAACUACGUG